UGCUGAAAUCUAGUUUGCAGUCACUAAUCAUAAAAAGAAUGGAAUGGCGGAAACUCUAGCAAAGGUAGGCAUGUCAAGGAAAAACUUCUUUAAAGCUGCUUGGCGAUUUGCUGCUGAAGCAGAGUGGAUGAUGCUGGGAUGGUCUGCUGUUUUCUGCAGCAGAGUCCAAUGGGGAAGUCUGUUGUUGAAGCUGUUUUUGUCUGCUAAGUAGUAUUUGCUAGGCUAUUUUAUUUUAUUCAUAUUUUUAUAACUGUAAUUGAAG
rnacentral:lncRNA from 1 species